CCUACGGGAGGCAGCAGUGAGGAAUAUUGGUCAAUGGUCGGGAGACUGAACCAGCCAAGCCGCGUGAGGGAUGAAGGUCCAGAGUAUCGUAAACCUCUUUUGUCAGGGAACAAAGGCGGGGACGUGUCCCCGGAUGCGUGUACCUGAAGAAAAAGCAUCGGCUAACUCCGUGCCAGCAGCCGCGGUAAUACGGAGGAUGCGAGCGUUAUCCGGAUUUAUUGGGUUUAAAGGGUGCGCAGGUGGUCUGUUAAGUCAGCGGUCAAAGCCCGGGGCUCAACCCCGGGCCGGCCGUUGAACCUGGCAGUCUAGAGUUGGAGAGAAGUAGGCGGAAUGCGCGGUGUAGCGGUGAAAUGCAUAGAUAUCGCGCAGAACUCCGAUUGCGAAGGCAGCAUGCCGGCUCCAGACUGACGCUGAGGCACGAAAGCGUGGGUAUCGAACAGGAUUAGAUACCCUUGUAGUC
rnacentral:rRNA from 1 species